AAAGAAACCACAGGGAUUGCCCUAGUAACGGCGAGUGAAGCGGCAACAGCUCAAAUUUGAAAUCUGGCCCUCGGGUCCGAGUUGUAAUUUGUAGAGGAUGCUUUUGGUGAGGUACCUUCCGAGUUCCCUGGAACGGGACGCCAUAGAGGGUGAGAGCCCCGUCUGGUUGGAUACCGAGCCUCUGUAAAGCUCCUUCGACGAGUCGAGUAGUUUGGGAAUGCUGCUCUAAAUGGGAGGUAUAUGUCUUCUAAAGCUAAAUACCGGCCAGAGACCGAUAGCGCACAAGUAGAGUGAUCGAAAGAUGAAAAGCACUUUGAAAAGAGAGUUAAAAAGUACGUGAAAUUGUUGAAAGGGAAGCGCUUAUGACCAGACUUGGGCUUGGUUGAUCAUCCUGGGUUCUCCCUGGUGCACUCUUCCAGUUCAGGCCAGCAUCAGUUCGCUGCGGGGGAUAAAAGUUUUGGGAAUGUGGCUCCCUCGGGAGUGUUAUAGCCCAUUGCAUAAUACCCUGCUCCGGACUGAGGUUCGCGCAUCUGCAAGGAUGCUGGCGUAAUGGUCAUCAGCGACCCGUCUUGAAACACGGACCAAGGAGUCGUCUUCGUAUGCGAGUGUUCGGGUGUUAAACCCCUACGCGUAAUGAAAGUGAACGCAGGUGAGAGCUUCGGCGCAUCAUCGACCGAUCCUGAUGUUCUCGGAUGGAUUUGAGUAAGAGCAUACGGGGCCGGACCCGAAAGAAGGUGAACUAUGCCUGUAUAGGGUGAAGCCAGAGGAAACUCUGGUGGAGGCUCGCAGCGGUUCUGACGUGCAAAUCGAUCGUCAAAUAUGGGCAUGGGGCGAAAGACUAAUCGAACCUUCUAGUAGCUGGUUUCCGCCGAAGUUUCCCUCAGGA
rnacentral:rRNA from 1 species